GGCCUAAUACAUGCAAGUCGAACGGUAAGGUCCCUUCGGGGAUACACGAGUGGCGGACGGGUGCGUAACGCGUACGAAACAUACCUUCAACAGGGAGAUACCUACCGGGAAACUGGAAAUAAUACCCCAUAGUAUUGAGAUAUCGCAUGAUAUUUCAAUUAAAGCUUUGGCGGUUGAAGAUUGUCGUGCGUCUGAUUAGCUAGUUGGUGAGGUAACGGCUCACCAAGGCGACGAUCAGUAGCUGGUCUGAGAGGAUGAUCAGCCACACUGGAACUGAGACACGGUCCAGACUCCUACGGGAGGCAGCAGUAGGGAAUAUUGGACAAUGGGCGGAAGCCUGAUCCAGCCAUCCCGCGUGUAGGAAUAAGGCCCUAUGGGUUGUAAACUACUUUUAUUAGGGAAGAAAAACUUUGAUUUAUCAGAGCUUGACGGUACCUAAGGAAUAAGCACCGGCUAACUCCGUG
rnacentral:rRNA from 1 species